rnacentral:rRNA from 1 species
UACGUAGGUGGCAAGCGUUAUCCGGAUUUAUUGGGCGUAAAGGGAACGCAGGCGGUCUUUUAAGUCUGAUGUGAAAGCCUUCGGCUUAACCGGAGUAGUGCAUUGGAAACUGGGAGACUUGAGUGCAGAAGAGGAGAGUGGAACUCCAUGUGUAGCGGUGAAAUGCGUAGAGAUUAGGAAGAACACCAGUGGCGAAGGCGAUUCUCUGGACUGUAACUGACGCUGAGGCUCGAAAGCGUGGGGAGCAAACAGG